rnacentral:SRP_RNA from 1 species
UCCGGGCAUGGUGGCACAUGUUUGUAGUCCCAACUACUCGGGGUGCUGAGGCAUGAGAAUCACUUGAACGUGGGAGGCAGAGAUUGCAGUGAGCCGAGAUCGCACCACUGCACUCCAGCCUGGCGACAGAGGAGUGAGACUCCAUUUCUCAAUAAAAAAAAAAAAGAAAGAAAGAAAUGGAGUCUCACUCCUCUGUCGCCAGGCUGGAGUGCAGUGGUGCGAUCUCGGCUCACUGCAAUCUCUGCCUCCCACGUUCAAGUGAUUCUCAUGCCUCAG